GAUGAACGCUGGCGGCGUGCCUAAUACAUGCAAGUCGAGCGAACAGACGAGGAGCUUGCUCCUCUGACGUUAGCGGCGGACGGGUGAGUAACACGUGGAUAACCUACCUAUAAGACUGGGAUAACUUCGGGAAACCGGAGCUAAUACCGGAUAAUAUAUUGAACCGCAUGGUUCAAUAGUGAAAGACGGUUUUGCUGUCACUCAUAGAUGUAUCCGCGCCGCAUUAGCUAGUUGGUAAGGUAACGGCUUACCAAGGCAACGAUGCGUAGCCGACCUGAGAGGGUGGUCGGCCACACUGGAACUGAGACACGGUCCAGACUCCUACGGGAGGACGCAGUAGGGAAUCUUCCGCAAUGGGCGAAAGCUUGACGGAGCAACGCCGCGUGAGUGAUGAAGGUCUUCGGAUCGUAAAACUCUGUUAUUAGGGAAGAACAAAUGUGUAAGUAACUAUGCACGUCUUGACGGUACCUAAUCAGAAAGCCACGGCUAACUACGUG
rnacentral:rRNA from 1 species